UAACUAGCAAAGAGACCUUGUUUCAACAUCAAAUAUGUUUCCGUAAGGCCAGAUUCUUGGGCAAAGUUGUUUUAGCGAUCUGGUUGCAACUAAGUAUUGGAGUUGUUGUGCCUUGAAGCUAGAAACUGCCUUGAAUUUCUACAUAGGGAAAUGUAAUCUAUUGCUUUCUUACAGAUUGCCAUUUGCCAGCUGACCUGUGACACAGCAGCAGUGUAUUACAUUUUCAAUGAGCAGUCUGUCUGGAGCUGCUAGUGGGAGAAACUGCUUCCUGGUUUCUAGGUAUCCUGUAAGAACAAAUUGCUGCCUCCUCCAGGUGGAAAGGGAUCAAAUAUAAUUAAUCUGUGUGUGCCACACAGUAGCUUGAUAGUUUAAUUGAGGAAUGUUGACAUAUUGAGAGCUCAGCAUUACUUUCUGCUAUCAGCAGUGACGGCAUAAGAGCUGUAUCCUAACUGCACUGCUGAAUUUGGGCUUCCUGUGGGGGCACGGCAAGUGCCCUCUUUGAGAGUGAGGAGGCUGAGAGUCUCACACCAACAGGAAUGAGUGCUUUGAAAUUAACUGGUGUUUGGAAAUUGAUCUGCUGACUGAGCUGGGCUCUCAAGCUCUUCUCGACAACCAUGUAAGAAGCGAUGACAAUUGUACUACUUCAUAACAGCUGCAUGGAACUCUGACACACACUUCACAGCAACCAGUCAUCUAUAUAAACCAAUUUCAGGAGCAAAAUUGCAUGGUGCCUCCACUCUGUUAUAAACACAAUGAUAUCCACUCAAAGCUGAUAAAUGCACUACAUUUCUCUGCAGCUUAAAAGAAUAAGUUCCUUGCAUCUGAGAUUUCCUUCCCACAAAUUAAGUCAUUUUUUUUG
rnacentral:lncRNA from 10 species